CUACGGGUGGCACCAGUGGGGAAUAUUGGACAAUGGGCGCAAGCCUGAUCCAGCAAUGCCGCGUGAGUGAAGACGGCCUUAGGGUUGUAAAACUCUUUCGCUAGGGAAGAUAAUGACUGUACCUAGUAAAGAAGUCCCGGCUAACUCCGUGCCAGCAGCUGCGGUAAUACGGAGGGGACUAGCGUUGUUCGGAAUUACUGGGCGUAAAGAGUUCGUAGGCGGACUGACAAGUUAGAGGUGAAAUCCCAGGGCUCAACCCUGGAACUGCCUUUAAAACUGUCAGUCUAGAGACCGGAAGAGGUUAGGGGAAUACCUAGUGUAGAGGUGAAAUUCGUAGAUAUUAGGUGGAACACCAGUGGCGAAGGCGCCUAACUGGUCCGGUACUGACGCUGAGGAACGAAAGCGUGGGGAGCAAACAGGAUUAGAUACCCUAGUAGUC
rnacentral:rRNA from 1 species